rnacentral:rRNA from 1 species
GGAAUAUUGGUCAAUGGCCUAUUGGCUGAACCAGCAACUUGGGGGAAUGAGUGAUUUAAACAAUAUAUAUAUCUUUAAUUUCGGCUAAGUCGUGUAAAGUUCUAGAUAGUUAAUGAUUGUGACAACUUCUAUCUAUAUGUCUUGACCAAAUCUUGUGCCAGCAGUCGCGGCAAGACAAGAAAGACUUGUGUUAUUCAUCUUUAUUAGGUUUAAAGGGUACCUAGACUGUUAUUAUUACCUUAAAAAGGGACGUAUAUGACUAGAGUUUGAUGUAAACGAAUUGAACAAUUGAAGGAAAGAUCGAAUGUGGCAAUCUCAAUUAGACAGGUAAUAGCGAAGGCUAUUCUUUAUGUGAUAACUGACGUUGAGGGACGAAGGCAAUGUGUUACGAAGAGGAUUAGAGACCCUCCUAGUCUUUGCAGAAAAUUAUGAGUGUUAUAGAUUAUAAUAAAUUUAAAAUCUAUAAAUGAAAGUGUAAACACUCCACCUCAAGAGUAAUGUGGCAACACAGGAACUGAAAUCAUUAGACCGUUUCUGAAACCAGUAGUGAAGUAUGUUAUUUAAUUCGAUGACCCUCGAAUAACCUUACCACAAUUUGUAUAUAAAUUUAUUAUUAUAAACAUUAUUUUGUUUACAUAAGAAUUUAUACAAGCGUUGCACGGCUGUCUUCAGUUAAUGUUGUGAAAGUUGGUUAGAUCCAGUGAAUUAGCGUAAACCCUUGCUUUAUUUAUUAGUAUAAAGUAGAUCACCGUUACAAUGGUAAAAAUUAUAAUCGUAAAUAUUUUAUGUAAGAUACACGGAAAGUAAAACAAAAAGGUAUUUUAUGUAUUAUUAAUAUAUCUAUAUUAGAUAAGGUUAUACCUAGUUUAAUUUAUUAUUAUAUUAAAUCUGAAAAGAGUAUUUAUUAAAAAUAAUAUGUUAUAGAUAUAAAUAUAUUUUAUAUUUAUACUAAUAUUCUAUUCUAUUAAAAGAAUAAGAUAAAUUAGAGGUAAUUAUAUAUUAUUUAUAUAUUAUUAAAAGUUAUAUGGAUAAUAGGGAUCAAGACAAGUCAUCAUGACCUAAAUAUUGUGGGCUAUAGACGUGCCACAU